AUGUACAUGUGGAGACUCUGGAGUAUUUACUCUGCAGUGCCUUUUUUUGUUGAAAGAAGUUGGUCUUGAAUUCUGUAAUAGAUGAAGGCUUCUAUAAACAGUAUGCUUGUUACCUUGUCCUUCUUCUCUUCCGUCUCAUCAAAUCCUGGUAGGCACUGUCACAGAGGGCAAACAAUCUUCCGAACAUUCUGCUUCCAGAACAAGAGUCCUAAAGAGAAGAUGACAUAUUUAUUCCGGUCCAGGUUUAUAUAAGGCUAUUUAUUAAUUGAUUUUUCUUCUUCUAACGUUACUCUGGUAUAACGUUAGCGCUGCAUAUUAUGACCGUUCUAAAAGCUUGGCUUUUAUUUUGAUAGGCCAUAUUUACUAUUACUUCCGGGUCACGUGGCCAACCUGUCUGUAUUUCAAUGUAGAUCUUCAAACGAAAAAAUGGAAAAAGGAAUUUCAAAAAACCAAAAUCGGACCGUUAUUUGAUUUUGGUUUUGUCAUUUUUCGUUUUUGGAUUCAGAACCAAAAACGGGAGAACGGCUCUUUUUUUUUACCGUUUCUUUGUUUUUGGUUUGAAACGACAAACGAAAAACAGGUGGUUUCUCGUUAUUUUGUUUUGUGUUUCAAACGAAAAAACAAACUAUCAAAACGUACACGGACCUACCUGACGUUGUUUCAGCGUUGAAAUGCCGGCGGGGGAGGAACAUUUUCCCGGGAUCUGGAAAACGUCCUCAUGAAUGAAAGUGAAAGUAAUGACCAGAGUUGAUGCGGACAUUUUAAACAGACAGAAUCGAUGAUCUACAAUACAUUAUAUCUUUAAAUCUUUAAUAGAAUCGCUAAUAAACGCUAAAUCGGGAGUUUGUGUGGAGUUACCGGAUGGGAAUGUGAAUCGAGUCAGUGGAGAUCAAACUGUUCAGAUCCAUCAUGGAUGAAACACAAACUUCUGGAGAUGAAGAUUUGUUUCCAGCACACAGUUCAGUUCAUCAGAAGAGAUCAGAAGCAGAGUUCAGCUGUGUGUCUGUGAAGACUGACUGGUCUAUGGAUCCGCCAAUGAAGUUUAAGAGUGGAGAUACACGGCCUGAUCUCAGCUCAGUUCAUCAGAAGAGAUCAGAAGCAGAGUUCAGCUGUGUGUCUGUGAAGAGUGACUGGUCUAUGGAUCCACCAAUGAAGUUUAAGAGUGGAGAUACACGGCCUGAUCUCAGGUAUAACGUUUGUAUGAAAAUAUGAUUAUAACAUGACUUUUAAUAUUGGCAUGUAUUAUGUUCACAGUUAUGGUCACAGUUUUUGUACAAAUAAUAUAUGAGUGAGUAUAAAGCGGGGUUUAUGUAAAUUUCGGGAAGUAACUUCUUGUAGUCCCUACCAGCCGUUUUUGUAGGCAUUAAAUGGCAUAAUUUUAAAAGAUAUCUCCGUUUGCAUUGAAUUUUCAGUGUCGUAACUUUGCAGAUAUUUUUUAUGCUCAAACAGCAACAUUACACACUAACCAACAUUAAAAAAGUGAAAUCGCAGUCAACCCCCCCCAGCCCCCCC
ensembl:lncRNA